AAAUUUGCGAGAGAAAAUGGAUAAAGUACAGGCCUCGUUAUGCUACGGUUGAGCAGAAUAUUAUAAUGGAAAAAAACAGAAAGCGAAGAACCAGGGAAGGGGAGGAACAACACCUCUACAGGCAUGGAUGCGGAACAAGUAGCCGCUUCAGAGGUGGAAGGAUUAAGGCCAACAAAAAAACUUGCACUUGCAACAGGUACACCCAAAACGGCAAAGAGUAAGGCUGCAAAGAGUAAGGCAGGGGUUGAAAAACCCAAUAAAGGAACCUCAACUAGGAGAAGUUAUUCACAAAAGGUUCAGGGGUCCCCACAACACUUACCAAUCGAUACUGAGGGUAAGUUCCUUCCGUAACCCAUUUAAGAUUUAGGUUGC